rnacentral:rRNA from 1 species
UACGGGGGGGGCAAGCGUUGUUCGGAAUUACUGGGCGUAAAGGGCUCGUAGGCGGCCAACUAAGUCGGAUGUGAAAUCCCCAGGCUUAACCUGGGAACUGCAUCCGAUACUGGAUGGCUUGAAUCCGGGAGAGGGAUGCAGAAUUCCAGGUGUAGCGGUGAAAUGCGUAGAUAUCUGGAGGAAUACCGGUGGCGAAGGCGGCGAUCUGGGUCGAAACUGACGCUGAGGUGCGAAAGCGUGGGGAGCAAACAGG